AGCUAUCGUCUUUGGAUGGGUCCGCGUCCCAUUAGCUUGUUGGUAGGGUCAUGGCCUACCAAGGCGACGAUGGGUAGCUGGUCUGAGAGGAUGAUCAGCCACACUGGGACUGGAACACGGCCCAGACUCCUACGGGAGGCAGCAGUGGGGAAUAUUGGGCAAUGGGCGCAAGCCUGACCCAGCAACGCCGCGUGAGGGAAGAAGGUCUUCGGAUCGUAAACCUCAGUCAGGAGGGAAGAAAUGGGUUGUCCUGAACAGGGAUGGCCUUUGACGGUACCUCCAGAGGAAGCACCGGCCAACUCCGUGCCAGCAGCCGCGGUAAUACGGAGGGUGCAAGCGUUAUUCGGAAUCACUGGGCGUAAAGCGCACGUAGGCGGCUUUGCAAGUCAGGUGUGAAAGCCCUCGGCUCAACCGAGGAAUUGCACUUGAAACUGUAGAGCUCGAGUUCGGGAGAGGGUGGCGGAAUUCCAGGUGUAGGAGUGAAAUCCGUAGAUAUCUGGAGGAACACCAGAGGCGAAGGCGGUCACCUGGACCGAAACUGACGCUUAUGUGCGAAAGCGUGGGAAGCAAACAGGGUUAGAUACCCUGGUAGUCCACGCCGUAAACCGAUGGAUGCUAGAUCCUGGGUGUGUAAGACAUUCGCUGUCGGAGUUAACGCGUUAAGCAUCCCGCCUGGGGAGUAACGGUCGCAAGGCUGAAACUCAAAGAAAUCGACGGGGGCCCGCACAAGCGGUGGAGUAUGUGGUUUAAUUCGAUGCAACGCGAAGAACCUUACCUGGGCUUGACAUCCCGGGAACCUCCUGGAAACAGGGGCGUGCCCUUCGGGGAACCCGGUGACAGGUGCUGCAUGGCUGUCGUCAGCUCGUGCCGUGAGGUGUUGGGUUAAGUCCCGCAACAAGCGCAACCCUUGUCCUUAGUUGCCAUCAGGUAAAGCUGGGCCCUCUAGGGAGACUGCCGAGGUGAACUCGGAGCAAGGUGGGGACGACGUCAAGUCAUCAUGGCCCUUACGCCCAGGGCUACACACGUACUACAAUGGUGGGUACAAAGGGAAGCCAAGCCGCGAGGUGGAGCCAAUCCCGAAAAGCCUACCCCAGUUCAGAUCGCAGUCUGCAACUCGACUGCGUGAAGGCGGAAUCGCUAGUAAUCGCGGAUCAGCAUGCCGCGCUGAAUACGUUCCGGGGCAUGUACACACCGCCCGUACACCACGAA
rnacentral:rRNA from 1 species